UCCGUAGGUGAACCUGCGGAAGGAUNAUUAUUGA
rnacentral:rRNA from 1 species